rnacentral:rRNA from 1 species
UACGUAGGGUGCAAGCGUUGUCCGGAUUUAUUGGGCGUAAAGAGCUCGUAGGCGGUCUGUCGCGUCGGAUGUGAAAACCCAGGGCUCAACCCUGGGCCUGCAUUCGAUACGGGCAGGACUAGAGUGUGGCAGGGGAGACGUGGAAUUCCUGGUGUAGCGGUGAAAUGCGCAGAUAUCAGGAGGAACACCGGUGGCGAAGGCGGGUCUCGUGGGCCAAUACUGACGCUGAGGAGCGAAAGCGUGGGGAGCGAGCAGG